rnacentral:rRNA from 1 species
AUUGAACGCUGGCGGCAGGCCUAACACAUGCAAGUCGAACGGUAAAAGGAAGCAGCUUGCUGCUUUGCUGACGAGUGGCGGAGGGGUGGGUAAUGUCGGGGAAACUGCCUGAUGGAGGGGGAUAACUACUGGAAACGGUAGCUAAUACCGCAUAACGUCGCAAGCCCAAGGAGGGGGACCUUCGGGCCUCUUGCCAUCGGAUGUGCCCGGAUGGGAUUAGCUAGUAGGGGGGGUAACGGCUCACCUGGGCGACGAUCCCUAGCUGGUCUGAGAGGAUGACCAGCCACACUGGAACUGAGACACGGUCCAGACUCCUACGGGAGGCAGCAGUGGGGAAUAUUGCACAAUGGGCGCAAGCCUGAUGCAGCCAUGCCGCGUGUAUGAAGAAGGCCUUCGGGUUGUAAAGUACUUUCAGCGGGGAGGAAGGGAGUAAAGUUAAUACCUUUGCUAAUUGACGUUACCCGCAGAAGAAGCACCGGCUAACUCCGUG